rnacentral:lncRNA from 1 species
UUUACUCUCACCCUGAAGCUAUUGCACACUUAAAGAACACAUACUCGGACUGAAUAGUGUUUUAUAUGACCUGGAUAUGGUGCCAGAGAGCUCUUACCUAAGGAGAAGGAAAGAAAUCACACCACAAGGCAAUCAGAUCCCUAUCUUCCUGUCUAGACUUGUAGUUGGAAAAAACUCUCCAGGAACUGGCUCUUCCGUUGCUGUCUCUGGCUCUGUGCUCCCUUGGGCUGGGUGAUAGGCAGCUCCACUCCGUCCAUUCAGCAGCAUCUCCUGCAUCCGUGUGAAGAGUCCCAAGAAAACAGCACCAUUUUUAAUCAGAUGGCCACGGGAUCUCUGGGGAAAGAGAGAGAUGGUUUCCUAUCUCUGGAGAUGUCACUAUAGUGUUUACACGGCUGAAGAAG